rnacentral:rRNA from 1 species
ACUCCUGCGGGAGGCAGCAGUGGGGAAUUUUGGACAAUGGGCGAAAGCCUGAUCCAGCAAUGCCGCGUGAGUGAAGAAGGCCUUCGGGUUGUAAAGCUCUUUUGUCAGGGAAGAAACGGUGAAAGCUAAUAUCUUUUGCUAAUGACGGUACCUGAAGAAUAAGCACCGGCUAACUACGUGCCAGCAGCCGCGGUAAUACGUAGGGUGCAAGCGUUAAUCGGAAUUACUGGGCGUAAAGCGUGCGCAGGCGGUUUUGUAAGUCUGAUGUGAAAUCCCCGGGCUCAACCUGGGAAUUGCAUUGGAGACUGCAAGGCUAGAAUCUGGCAGAGGGGGGUAGAAUUCCACGUGUAGCAGUGAAAUGCGUAGAUAUGUGGAGGAACACCGAUGGCGAAGGCAGCCCCCUGGGUCAAGAUUGACGCUCAUGCACGAAAGCGUGGGGAGCAAACAGGAUGAGAAACCCUUGUAGUCCCAU